rnacentral:rRNA from 1 species
AACGUGGGCGGGUGCUUACCAUGCAGUCGAACGGUGAAGCCAAGCUUGCUUGGUGGAUCAGUGGCGAACGGGUGAGUAACACGUGAGCAACCUGCCCUGGACUCUGGGAUAAGCGCUGGAAACGGCGUCUAAUACUGGAUAUGAGCUCCUUCCGCAUGGUGGGGGUUGGAAAGAUUUUUCGGUCUGGGAUGGGCUCGCGGCCUAUCAGCUUGUUGGUGAGGUAAUGGCUCACCAAGGCGUCGACGGGUAGCCGGCCUGAGAGGGUGACCGGCCACACUGGGACUGAGACACGGCCCAGACUCCUACGGGAGGCAGCAGUGGGGAAUAUUGCACAAUGGGCGGAAGCCUGAUGCAGCAACGCCGCGUGAGGGAUGACGGCCUUCGGGUUGUAAACCUCUUUUAGCAGGGAAGAAGCGAAAGUGACGGUACCUGCAGAAAAAGCGCCGGCUAACUACGUGCCAGCAGCCGCGGUAAUACGUAGGGCGCAAGCGUUAUCCGGAAUUAUUGGGCGUAAAGAGCUCGUAGGCGGUUUGUCGCGUCUGCUGUGAAAUCCCGAGGCUCAACCUCGGGCCUGCAGUGGGUACGGGCAGACUAGAGUGCGGUAGGGGAGAUUGGAAUUCCUGGUGUAGCGGUGGAAUGCGCAGAUAUCAGGAGGAACACCGAUGGCGAAGGCAGAUCUCUGGGCCGUAACUGACGCUGAGGAGCGAAAGGGUGGGGAGCAAACAGGCUUAGAUACCCUGGUAGUCCACCCGUAAACGUUGGGAACUAGUUGUGGGGACCAUUCCACGGUUUCCGUGACGCAGCUAACGCAUUAAGUUCCCCGCCUGGGGAGUACGGCCGCAAGGCUAAAACUCAAAGGAAUUGACGGGGACCCGCACAAGCGGCGGAGCAUGCGGAUUAAUUCGAUGCAACGCGAAGAACCUUACCAAGGCUUGACAUAUACGAGAACGGGCCAGAAAUGGUCAACUCUUUGGACACUCGUAAACAGGUGGUGCAUGGUUGUCGUCAGCUCGUGUCGUGAGAUGUUGGGUUAAGUCCCGCAACGAGCGCAACCCUCGUUCUAUGUUGCCAGCACGUAAUGGUGGGAACUCAUGGGAUACUGCCGGGGUCAACUCGGAGGAAGGUGGGGAUGACGUCAAAUCAUCAUGCCCCUUAUGUCUUGGGCUUCACGCAUGCUACAAUGGCCGGUACAAAGGGCUGCAAUACCGUAAGGUGGAGCGAAUCCCAAAAAGCCGGUCCCAGUUCGGAUUGAGGUCUGCAACUCGACCUCAUGAAGUCGGAGUCGCUAGUAAUCGCAGAUCAGCAACGCUGCGGUGAAUACGUUCCCGGGUCUUGUACACACCGCCCGUCAAGUCAUGAAAGUCGGUAACACCUGAAGCCGGUGGCCCAACCCUUGUGGAGGGAGCCGUCGAAGGCUGAUCGU